UCCCUUGUAGCUCAGAUGGUAAAGAAUCUGCCUGCAACACAGGAGACCCAGGUUCAAUUCCUGGGUUGGGAA
rnacentral:tRNA from 1 species